AGGAAAAAGCUGCCCUGAUUGCCAACUGCGAGCUGCAGCCAGGCUCCGGCGCUGCGGCUCCAGCCCCGAGCGGGCGCGCGGCUGCCGGCUCGCUCCUAGGGGCGCCGGCAAGUGCAGGCAGCAGGACCGGGGCAGUGGGGCUGGGGGGGCUGCUCCCCGCCUCCACGUCCACCCCGGGAUCCGGCCGCUCCCCGCUGCCUUCCAGCUUCCCAGGGCGCCCGAGUCACUCGGGGGCCGAGGGCACCUUGGGCAUCGGUCUGCGGGCACGGGGCAGCGCGGGCCGGCGCCGCAGCAGCCUGGGAGGCAGGUGACAUCUGUCCGCCAGCGCCCAGUGCUCCUCUGUCUAGAGUUGUCUCUGCUCGGGUACAGUUGCUCCAGCCCGUGACAGCUGCUUAGCAAUUUUAAAUGACAGCAUCAUGAAAAUAGAAGGAAGGACCAGACCAGAAAGCUCUUACCAUCAACAGUAGUUUGCAUAGGCCUGUGGGACUCAGGGAACUUCUGCGUUUAUAAAAGCAGUUGCAGCACCUAAACAAGGUUAUGGAAUGGAGCGUCAAAAAGUCACAUGAAGAAAGAGGAUAUAAAUAUCCUACUACUGCACCUUAAAGCUGUAUCAUUCCAUUCUGAAAGGAAAACCAGCAGGCCAAACUCAUAAAAAUCAGAGAUGGUUUGUGAAAUUGAGUUAUAAAGAUCCCGAGAGCCAUAAAUAUUAAAGUCCUUAAUGAGGGAUAAUACUGGAUUGAAGAGGACCAACGAGAUUUAUUGAUACAAACUCAGAGAGAUCACUGUAAAUCAGGACAGUGGAGAAGAUCAGAAUCAGAGUGCUCUGUGGCAAAGAUUCAGCCUGUGGAGGGCACAGAGAGAGAAAAAAGAGUCCAACAGCAAGAAAUGCUGGCUAUUCAACUACAAAAUAGUUGUACAGAAUUGAAGACCAUCCUGUCGAGGAGCUGAGAGAAUGAAAGCAGGCAAUGAUGCUAAUGUGAUGCCCUAGCAGGGUGAUAUUCCCAACCGUCUGACGGAAACCAGGUAUCAUCACAACUGUCACGUUCUCCUUUUUCUUCCUUUCCGGGCUUCAUACCCUGUUGUAGUAGCCCCUGGCUUUGAAAGCAAAGGGCUGAAGAUGCGUAUCAGUUUUGUGCAUGCUAACAUGACGAGAUGCCUACAUUUAUGUUAACAACAUUGCGAUGUACAUGUGCACGUACAUGGCCAUGAAAACACACUUCACUCCACAACCCCAUGAGACAGAAUCUGUAAGAAGCAAAUGAGUAGGAAAACGUUAUAAACAGCAAUAGGACAAUGCAGGUCAAAAGAAGCCUAACAUAUAUAACUAUAAUCGAUUUAUAUUUGGUUUGAGGAUUUUAUUCAUUCCAGUCACAUUGAUUUGGCAAACAAAGCUGGUAGCAAGUUUGCAUAGAUCUGUAAAUGCCAAGCAAAAUUACAACCGGCGCUUCCAAAAAUUGUUUUGCAUGAAACUGCUCAGAAUUGCCAUCUCUUCAGUCUGAUAUUGCUCACUGUUCCUGCUAGACCAUCAGAGUCUACUUUACAUAGAAGAGUCUUUUGUAAAUGUGCUGGUGGAUAGACACUCUGUAUCAUUACCAGAGCAAGAGAUCUGUUCAAGAUAAGGGGGUUCUAGAGCCCAUUAGGGAUUAGCACAUCAGUAUAUUAUGGAGAUUUUGCACGGUGAGAUUCUCUUGCAACCUGGCCCUGAUGAGGAUGGCCCAGAGGUGUGCCUAAUGCUUCUCACCACAGAGGAACAGGGCUAACAUGGGGGGGAGGCACAUUCAUUCUCUGAAGAGCUUCCAGGCAUAAUUAUAGAGAGGCCCAGAAUAGUUCAAGGUGUCUCAACUCCCUUUUCAAAAGCUACUGUCAACAAAUAGUCUCAGUUUCAUGACUCAUAAGUGACUAAGGCACUUUAGAAAAUCACGUAUGUGCUUUUGAAAAUGUUACCCUACAAAUUUAAGCGAUCAGAAAAUAUUAGGGUGGACAAUAGCAACAAGAAAAGGGGAUAACGGGAGGAAUACACCACAUAAAGUAGGAUUAUUUGGGUGAUAUAGCUUACACUCACUUAAUAAGAAAUUCUUCAAUUGUUUAGAGGGUCAUGGCCUUCUUGCUUUGUGGAGGUUAUGAGCUUUCCCCUGCACAAACACGGACUCUUUCCCAAGCACACUCUGGUUAUCUCCUAUACACAGAUAUAACACUAGAUUCUCAGGUCAUUUUCUUGCAUCCUCACUUCCCUCUUAUUGUUCUGCCCAGAACUAGUCUCAAGUCUGGUUUGUAACUGAGCACUUAAUGAAGUAUCAAAAUGUAUAUUCCCUCCCCUCAUUAUCCUCAAUUACAUCACUCACUACAAUUGCUUGUGUGAAAAUAUUUUUGCUUCUCUGUUUCCAGUUAUAGUGCACCUCACUGCUCACUGUAUAAACUUAGCCCCCUUCCCCCAGCCUCCCUGUAUGAAUAUUUUGCCAAAUGAUCCAGAGUGAAAAGAUGAUCUUCUCUUCUUAGUCACUUGAUUGAAAAUAACCAAAAAUAAUUAAAUAAUUAAUAGUGAGUGUAGCUGAGCACUUGCUUAGUGUUUUAUUUUAAAAAUUUCUGUAGCUUUUUCCUAUUUUAAGAACAAAGCAGGCAUAAUUGGACAUGUUGUUCUCAAGCAGCAAACACCUCUGUGAAGAGAAUUGAAGGAAACACAUUUCUUUGAUUAGAAUAUUUUUCUCAUUAACUGAAUGUUCCAAAUAAAGCAAAAAUAUUUGAUGCAUGCAGCCUCUGGCUACAUCAGGUUAACACUGGCAUGCUCUCACACUUUACUUCAUGUUUACCAAUCAAGCAGAAACACAUUUGCGGGUAAAAAAGGGCACGUCUUUAAUCAUGAAACGACAGUUUUUUGACAGCAAACAGUUAGGGUAUCCCUGAAUUAAACCAAACGUGGAUCUCACUUGUGAAAGUUUAAUACUCAAGGUUCUGAAGAGGAUAAAUGUAUCAUGAUGCUGACUAGAGAGAGAGAGAAAGAGUGUGGGCAUUGACAAAGGGUCAAAUUAUAAUGAGUUGGAAGGGGUGAGAACUUAGUGUGGAGCAGAUGACACACGGUCACUGUCCAUCUGCCCAUUCUUGCCCCUUGGUAAGUGAAAGUUAAACUGGAGCAAUUUAGCUGGUUUGUUCAGGGGUAAACUGCUUUAGGUUAAGAUAGUUACCAUGCAUCAGCCGCUUUGAGAUAAGUUUUUAGCUUCUAAUUACUUGUUGCAUCUGAUUGUUUGUUCAUAGUUUGUUUCUGAAAGUAAUCCUGAGUUCUAAGUUACAGUAUAAUGUCUCAUUCUGUCAAGCUUGAGAUCAUAAUAUUAUGUCUGUCUUUAACACCUGUAUGUUGAACCAAAGUCAAGUAACUUUGUGAAGAGGACCAUGAAAUAAAAGUUAGUUUAUAGGUGGUCAGUGACUUUUUUAGCUCGGGGCCAAAGUCAAUUUGCUAGCCACAGUGCUAUAAAGAGGCCCCUAAUUCCUUUUGGUCACUGAAAAUGACUUUGUCUUUCUGAACAAGGCCAUUAUGCCUUUACUAAAUUACAGUUCAGAAAUUGUAUCUGUAUGUUUCUAAUGUGGACUUUGAUUCCUCUCCUCCCAAAAACACUACUGAGUGACCUUUGUGUCUACAGUGGUGAUAUCUUAUACUAGUGGAUGAAGGGAACCUGUACAUACACUGUUUGGAAUUAAAAAGUUGAUAACAUUUGUUCACAACCCUUUUGAUAUAUUCUUGAGACCUGCUUUUGGGUCAGGGCCCACGGCUUGAGAAACAGUGGGCUAAACGCAAGGCUCUUCUAGCUUGUGUCUGGGUUGAGGGAGGCAGAGAGAAAGGGAACAAUCAUUGACUUUGAUAUGGCUUCCUCCUCUCUGCUGUGUUGAGCAGAUCUUAGCCACCUUAGAAAAUUGGGCUCCUUCUUUUGGAUGCCAGUGUGGUCAAUAGUAUUACUUCUGCAGGGCCAGGAUUUCACCCUCAGUCUCUUGCAGGAAUCACUUGUAUGGAAAGAUGCAUGCAUUGCCUGUAGCGAUACCACAUAUUUCAUGGGCUGACACACAAACAUGUCUGAACUCAAGGCAUCAUAACCUCAAUUAAAAAAACUGUUUUUAAAUCUUUUUAUUCAACCUACAGGCCAAUGGGGGAGUGGGAGUCAUAAGAAAGAAACUAGUUCCCUUGUUAAAAAUUAAUUCCCUACACUAAAAAUAUAAUCCAGUGAUGCCUAAAGUGUAGAAGAAUGCUGAAAGCAAUGCGUAAUUUGCAUUUUGUUCGUUUUUCGGUGUUUUUUCCAUGCCCUUGCUUUCUGUAUGCUUGUUAAACAAAUGCACUGAUAGAAUCCUCACCUUGUAAAAUUGGUUUAGGUUCUUUUCACAAAACAGCUGAAAGGGAACUAAUCACAGCCAUGGAUGCUGCUUGUACAGCUUCAAUCACACAAAACUGUUGUUAGCAUGGAUUUAACUGUAUUGUGGGCAGAGCCUUAUGUAUCAUCAUCUUACACAUUAUUUUCAAACUUACAACUGAAGAGCUUUUUUCUUUCAGCUCCAUUUCAAAGAUUAGAUGCUCCUUUAUGAAACAGGGACAUGGAAAGACCUAUGUUCAGUUGUCACUCUCUUUUUCUCUCACAUGCUGGCAGCAGAGGCCAGUAGAGUGAUGUGGAUGCUGUGCUCCAGUGCAGUGAAAGGGGAACCAGAGCAUCACAUCACUUUGCAACUUCUGCAGGUUGUUAGGAGACCAAACAGCAAAUUAGCAGACCCAGGGAGUUCUGUAAUUUUUGACCUCAGGACAGCUGUGUUUUGUUAACAGUUUGCAUACAUCACUGAAUUCAUUGGCUGAAUGCUGUACUGUGUUUUGGAUAAACCCGUGUGUUACCAGGGGCCUGAAAGCCUUAGUCAUGUAAGUAAUAUUAUAUGCCUAAAUAGAAUAAUCCCACCAAUUCAUAUGAAUAAAGAUUACUCAUGUGAGUAAAAAUUGCAAGUGUUAAUGGAUUCUAUUUUCCUUUCAGUACUUGUAUUUAAAUCUCAGUUGUGCUAAUGGGAGCUAUAAGUAUAUAUCAAGGGGAGAAUGAAUUCUCUUGUUGAAAUGCAAGGAGUCCUAAUUUUAUGAUUUGUUACUGUAUCUAGCUUGUGCUAUAAUGGUGAAUUUAUACACUUGAAUCACUUCUUUUACUGUUUAUGAAUUUUCCAGGAAGAGAUCAUAAAUUUUACAAAUUUGUUCCUUGUUCAAAAUCUAACAAUGACUAUUUUAUAUGGACAAAUUUCAGUCGGGGAAUUGUUUGUGAACUUUUUGUUAUGACUUCUUUUAGUAACCAGAAAUUGAAGAACUGCUAUAGUAAGUCCACAUACCGUAGAAGUUCAUUAACCUGAAUUGGCCCCAUAACUUCAGGUUUAUGAUAUAGUAAAUUCACUGAGUAGAAAUGCAACAAUGUAAAACUGAAGCAGUGUAGUUAUGGAUCUGGUUGGGAAGUAUCCCACUGUAUAUACAAGAAACGAUAGAUGUACUAAUUGUGUUCACUGAAUUUUUAAGUCCCCAUACUAGUAGUCAUUUGAUUAAUCAGACAUGAAGUUCAAUGGGUUUAAUGGAAAUAUUUGCAAAGUCCAUGUCUAACAUUUCUAGAACAAGAAAAUUGGUGGGGCUGUCUCUCAAAAAUAAUGGAUGCUUUGACAGGUAACCACCAACUUGAAAAUGCAUUAAAUCUUUGUAUUAUGGUCAUAAGUGUGUUCCUGAGGUUCAAAAGUUCUUCCUGUUAAAGAGAUGGACAGGGAGGGAGACAUUAAGUUUCUGUGAAUAAAAUCUAAUAUUUGAUACAAUGGCAGCCAUGGCUUAAUGCUACUAAUAGCAUCAUGAUCAAAAGCAAGGGAUAUACUACAUGAAGGGAAGUGCCAUUGUUUCACAACUGGGCACACAACACUUCAGAGAUAGAAAUGGCCCUCUGGGACACCUUACAUAACCUUAUCUGCAUAGCCGUAUCAUAAUUGUUUGACUAGGUUUCAGAAAGAGUCACUUGACACACAGGCCAAACACAUGAUAAACUAUAAUUGUGGCCUCUGACAUGACUGCCUGCUAGUCCAGGAUGUUGUAUCAGUCCUUUAUUCACACAAUAAUUGUACAAUAACAAAUAUUUAGUUGCUUAUUUUGAGUGACUUCUUAGCAUGGAAAGAACCAGGGUCAUUAUCUGGCAUGCUUGAUCUCUACAGAGACCAGGUUGAGGGACAAACACAGUGGCUGCAUGACACUUCCAUUGCACAUACAAAAUCUGUGAUGUUCUAACGCCUACAUACACUGUUGGAAUCAACAGUUAGCUUACAUAUGCUUGAAAAAAGUGAAAAAAAAGGGCUAGUGAAUGCUCUUGCAGUAUAAUUCCAAUUAGAAUUAUUUAUGAAUAAUUUUCCUUAUUAUUUGUUGAGCAGUAGCAUGCAGUACACUCUGCCUUGUGCCACACUGGCUCCAGGAAACAAUAUGAAACAUGAAAAUGAAAAAAAAAAAAGGAUGACUUAUUUACAACCUUGACUUCCUUUGGAAUUAAGCCCUGCAUUUCUCUGGUAUUCUGUAACAUUUAACUGGGAGAGAGCCAAUAUUUUAUCAAAAAUGACACCCUGAUGCAUCAGUGAACUGAAGAUGUGUGGUUAAAUAUUUAAAUGAAAGAAUAUCUAACAGCUCUCUUAGAACUUAGUGCUUACUCAUGCAAAUGUAGAAAAGAAAAAAAAAAAGUGUUAAUUGCAAGGAAGCGUGAAAUGACCACAAAGAGAAUCUGCAUGUCUCAAGUUGCUGGGGAAGUUGGUGGCUGAAUAGCCUCAUGCUCACCUCCAUCAAAUUCAUUUAUUUAAGGAAUUUAACUCACUGAAUGGAAACCUUGCAAAUGAAAGCAUCAUAUGGUCUUCCUAUGGCUACAGUGAUCCCACCUCAUUGUUUUGUGAUGUCCAACUUGAAUUAUGAGCUCCAUGCUGGUGAUCAUUGGCUCCUAUUUUCUAGGGUUCCCAGAGUGCAGCAGCAUCAGUAAGGAAUAAUCCAUGACAAAUUAUUUUGUCUAAAUAUACUUCAAAAUUGAUAUCCUUUAUCUGUCUAUGUGUGGUCUGACAACAUAAAAAGUCAUAACUUUUGCCGGGCCAGAGGACAUCAAUAAAACUCCUGUUGUCUUUCUAAUCUA